rnacentral:rRNA from 1 species
AUUGAACGCUGGCGGCAGGCCUAACACAUGCAAGUCGAGCGAGCGGCGGGCGGGUGAGUAAUGUCUGGGAAACUGCUUGAGGGAGGGGGAGAACAACAGGAAACGGUAGUGAAUACCGCAUACAAUCAGAUGUGUCCCGAGUGGAUUAGCUAGUAGGUGGGGGAACGGCUCACCUAGGCGACGAUCCCUAGCUGGUCUGAGAGGAUGACCAGCCACACUGGAACUGAGACACGGUCCAGACUCCUACGGGAGGCAGCAGUGGGGAAUAUUCGAUAAUGGGCGAAAGCCUGACCGAGCCACGCCGCGUGUGUGAAGAAGGUCUUCGGAUUGUAAAGCUCUUUUAUUAGAGAGGCGUUAUCUACCCAGGAAGCCACGGCUAACUCCGUGCCAGCAGCCGCGGUAAUAC